rnacentral:rRNA from 1 species
GACGAACGCUGACGGCGUGCUUAACACAUGCAAGUCGAACGGUAAGGCCCUUCGGGGUACACGAGUGGCGAACGGGUGAGUAACACGUGGGUGAUCUGCCCUGCACUUCGGGAUAAGCCUGGGAAACUGGGUCUAAUACCGGAUAGGACCACUGCCUGCAUGGGUGGUGGUGGAAAGCUUUUGCGGUGUGGGAUGGGCCCGCGGCCUAUCAGCUUGUUGGUGGGGUGAUGGCCUACCAAGGCGACGACGGGUAGCCGGCCUGAGAGGGUGACCGGCCACACUGGGACUGAGAUACGGCCCAGACUCCUACGGGAGGCAGCAGUGGGGAAUAUUGCACAAUGGGCGCAAGCCUGAUGCAGCGACGCCGCGUGAGGGAUGACGGCCUUCGGGUUGUAAACCUCUUUCAGCACCGACGAAGCGCAAGUGGCGGUAGGUGCAGAAGAAGGACCGGCCAACUACGUGCCAGCCGCCGCGGUAA